GGGCGUUAAGUUGCAGGGUAUAGACCCGAAACCCGGUGAUCUAGCCAUGGGCAGGUUGAAGGUUGGGUAACACUAACUGGAGGACCGAACCGACUAAUGUUGAAAAAUUAGCGGAUGACUUGUGGCUGGGGGUGAAAGGCCAAUCAAACCGGGAGAUAGCUGGUUCUCCCCGAAAGCUAUUUAGGUAGCGCCUCGUGAACUCAUCUUCGGGGGUAGAGCACUGUUUCGGCUAGGGGGUCAUCCCGACUUACCAACCCGAUGCAAACUACGAAUACCGAAGAAUGUUAUCACGGGAGACACACGGCGGGUGCUAACGUCCGUCGUGAAGAGGGAAACAACCCAGACCGCCAGCUAAGGUCCCAAAGUCAUGGUUAAGUGGGAAACGAUGUGGGAAGGCACAGACAGCCAGGAUGUUGGCUUAGAAGCAGCCAUCAUUUAAAGAAAGCGUAAUAGCUCACUGGUCGAGUCGGCCUGCGCGGAAGAUGUAACGGGGCUAAACCAUGCA
rnacentral:rRNA from 1 species